UUGCAUCCCAUGUAGGAUAAACAAAAGUUUUGUUUGCUUCAUGAUAUCUUGUUUGCACCAGCAUCUUGGUUGCAGUUUCUUUAUCUGAUAAAUAUUUUUCUUUAUCUAAUACACACAGGUCUCCUUCUUUCUUUCAUUCUUGCCAUCUAUGUACUGCAAUCAUCUCAAGAGAAACUGACAAGGUUCGUUAAGGAGACUGUCGCCGAGAGCAGUUUGCCUGCCUUAGAUGGAGCAAAGGUUGAAUAAUUUUUUUCUAAAAGCUUUUGUGUACUUCUCGAAACAAGGUUAACUAGUGAAAGUUAGCAAAAUUUAAUAGACUUGGCUUUUAGGAUCUCUUAACAUAUUUUUCAAAUGUCAAUAGAGGAGGACAUUGAGAGCAUCUGCUGCUCCACCGUUAUAUUUUAAUUCAAUCUGAUCAUAGAAGCUGAGAGAAGAUAUAUGUAUGAUUUUCAUUUUCAA